GCCAUGGCUUAAUGUUAGAGCAUCUGCUUUGCAUGCAGAAAUCCUGGGUUUAAUCCCCAGGAUCUCCA
rnacentral:tRNA from 1 species